AGAGUUUGAUCCGUGGCUCAGGACGAACGCUGGCGGCGUGCUUAACACAUGCAAGUCGAACGGUAAGGCCCUUCGGGGUACACGAGUGGCGAACGGGUGAGGUAACACGUGGGUGAUCUGCCCUGCACUUCGGGAUAAGCUUGGGAAACUGGGUCUAAUACCGGAUAGGACCACGGUCUGCAUGGAUUGUGGUGGAAAGCUUUUGCGGUGUGGGGAUGGGCCCGCGGCCUAUCAGCUUGUUGGUGGGUGAUGGCCUACCAAGGCGACGACGGGGUAGCCGGCCUGAGAGGGUGUCCGGCCACACUGGGACUGAGAUACGGCCCAGACUCCUACGGGAGGCAGCAGUGGGGAAUAUUGCACAAUGGGCGCAAGCCUGAUGCAGCGACGCCGCGUGGGGGAUGACGGCCUUCGGGUUGUAAACCUCUUUCUGCAUCGACGAAGCGCAAGUGACGGUAGAUGCAGAAGAAGCACCGGCCAACUACGUG
rnacentral:rRNA from 1 species